GUACAUGCUGUCCUAAUAUUAUAAUGUUACAUACAUGUGUUUGUAGACACUAAUUAAGUGCAUGGCAAAAAAACCGGCGCAAAUUGUCUCCGGGCGUGCAUAUGUGCGCGCGGUGAUAAAAUUGACACCAGUAGGUGAAUUUUAAUUUCUUUAAUCUUCAUUGAGUAAAAUUCCAUCAAAAUUUUCUAGUCUUUUAAUAUGCUGGAUAACAUUUAGAUAACUCCGACUCGGGUCUUGCGCAAUGCUUGCAAAUUGAUCACAGUCAUACGGUGAGCCAUGAUUGUACUUAACAGUUGCUGUUAUGCGAUCCCGAUCCGCCCAUCAUUUACCCCAGAAGGAUGUUUAAUAUCUGAUAAAUCGAGAAAAAAUUACGAAGUUCAGGAAAGUAGAAAAACUUUCUGAAAUUUUGAUUACCCCGUCAGUUUUUAGUGAAAAGUGUGGAUGUCUGGAUGGGAAAUGUGCGUGGUAGACAUGUCCAAGGUCAAUCGAAGAGUCAUUAUCAUUAUCACCUUUGAAAAACUACCCAUUACUGAACCCCCGAAAAGUGUACCUUUGGUGGCUAAUUAAACGGCGUAAAAUAUACAGGAUUGUCUAACGGACACAAAUUGGGAUCACUAUUUGGGUCCAGAUAAUCCCGAAGUAUGAGACACGCCGUUUUCUCUGCGGCAAGUUGCGUGGGAGCGUUUGGAUUUCCGUUCGUCGAUGUUGGAAGAACGCUGGCAUCAAUAACGCGUAAUCGUGAGACUCCACGCACCCUGUCUAUUUUUGAGCUGACUUUAAGUCCGAGGCGACCACGGCGAGUGGAUCAUCUCUUCUUCCCAUUACACAAGUUCCAGACAAAUGCCACGAUGUUCUCGAUGUUUGCACGAUGUAGCACUUCCAGUAGUCGUCCGAGUCAAAAGGAUAGAAUUUACAGGCCUCUGGAACUUCGGGUCUAUACCUCAAACCCAACGGUUGAAAUGCAGCAGUCUUGCUAAUACUGAAAACCAUGCGAAUACAUAACAAAGUUUAUCGCAAUAUUAGCAAUAUCUACAUGGGUAUUUCAUCCUUGGCACCUUUUCGUGUAAUAAAUUUGAUUUUAUAAUGUAAUGCCCACCCUCGAGCAGGACAUCCAUAUCGGUUGGAUCCGUAAAUAUCCCCAAGUCAAGGCUGACCAAUUUCUCAUCGUCCACUUCCCCCGCAGCAUACAUUUCCGUAUUCAGAAAGACACACCCUCUUGAUUUUGGUCUCCCAAA